GACGAACGCUGGCGGCGUGCUUAACACAUGCAAGUCGAACGGAAAGGCCCUGCUUUUGUGGGGUGCUCGAGUGGCGAACGGGUGAGUAACACGUGAGUAACCUGCCCUUGACUUUGGGAUAACUUCAGGAAACUGGGGCUAAUACCGGAUAGGAGCUCCUGCUGCAUGGUGGGGGUUGGAAAGUUUCGGCGGUUGGGGAUAGACUCGCGGCUUAUCAGCUUGUUGGUGGGGUAGUGGCUUACCAAGGCUUUGACGGGUAGCCGGCCUGAGAGGGUGACCGGCCACAUUGGGACUGAGAUACGGACCAGACUCCUACGGGAGGCAGCAGUGGGGAAUAUUGCACAAUGGGCGGAAGCCUGAUGCAGCAACGCCGCGUGCGGGAUGACGGCCUUCGGGUUGUAAACCGCUUUCGCCUGUGACGAAGCGUGAGUGACGGUAAUGGGUAAAGAAGCACCGGCUAACUACGUG
rnacentral:rRNA from 1 species